rnacentral:rRNA from 1 species
AUUGAACGCUGGCGGCAUGCUUUACACAUGCAAGUCGAACGGUAACAGGCCGCAAGGUGCUGACGAGUGGCGAACGGGUGAGUAAUGCAUCGGAACGUGCCCAGUCGUGGGGGAUAACUACUCGAAAGAGUAGCUAAUACCGCAUACGAUCUAUGGAUGAAAGCGGGGGACCGUAAGGCCUCGCGCGAUUGGAGCGGCCGAUGUCAGAUUAGGUAGUUGGUGGGGUAAAGGCUCACCAAGCCAACGAUCUGUAGCUGGUCUGAGAGGACGACCAGCCACACUGGGACUGAGACACGGCCCAGACUCCUACGGGAGGCAGCAGUGGGGAAUUUUGGACAAUGGGCGCAAGCCUGAUCCAGCAAUGCCGCGUGCAGGAAGAAGGUCUUCGGGUUGUAAACUGCUUUUGUACGGAACGAAACGGCUCUGGUUAAUACCCGGGGCUAAUGACGGUACCGUAAGAAUAAGCACCGGCUAACUACGUG